rnacentral:rRNA from 1 species
CAGCCGCCACGGGAAUACGGAGGGUGCAAGCGUUAAUCGGAAUUACUGGGCGUAAAGCGCACGCAGGCGGUCUGACAAGUCAGAUGUGAAAUCCCCGGGCUUAACCUGGGAACUGCAUUUGAAACUGUCAGGCUGGAGUCUUGUAGAGGGGGGUAGAAUUCCAGGUGUAGCGGUGAAAUGCGUAGAGAUCUGGAGGAAUACCGGUGGCGAAGGCGGCCCCCUGGACAAAGACUGACGCUCAGGUGCGAAAGCGUGGGGAGCAAACAGGAUUAGAUACCCGCGUAGUCCCUGUCUCUUAUAC